rnacentral:rRNA from 1 species
AGAGUUUGAUCCUGGCUCAGGAUGAACGCUGGCGGUAUGCUUAACACAUGCAAGUCGAACGAAAGCUUUAUGCUUUAGUGGCGAACGGGUGCGUAAUACGUGAGAAUCUACCCUUAGGAGGAGAAUAACUUCUGGAAACGGUUGCUAAGUCUCCAUAUGCUGAGAGGUAAAAUAGUUUACACUGCCUAGGGAUGAGCUCACGCCUGAUUAGCUUGUUGGUAAGGUAAUGGCUUACCAAGGCCACGAUCAGUAGCUGGUUUGAGAGAACGAUCAGCCACACUGGGACUGAGACACGGCCCAGACUCCUCCGGGAGGCAGCAGUGAGGAAUUUUCCGCAAUGGGCGAAAGCCUGACGGAGCAAUACCGCGUGAGGGAUGAAGGAUUUUGGUCUGUAAACCUCUUUUCUCAAGAAAGAAGUUCUGACGGUACUUGAGGAAUAAGCAUCGGCUAACUCCGUGCCAGCAGCCGCGGUAAUACGGGGGAUGCAAGCGUUAUCCGGAUUUAUUGGGCGUAAAGCGCCUGUAGGUUGUUUAAUAAGUCUGUUGUUAAAGACUAGGGCUUAACCCUAGGAAAGCAAUGGAAACUACUAGACUUGAGUAUGAUAGGGGUAGAGGGAAUUUCUAGUGUAGCGGUGAAAUGCGUAGAUAUUAGAAAGAACACCGGCGGCGAAGGCGCUCUACUGGAUCAUUACUGACACUCAGAGGCGAAAGCUAGGGUAGCAAAAGGGAUUAGAUACCCCUGUAGUCCUAGCCGUAAACGAUGGAUACUACAUGUUGCGUUUUUAAUGCAGUGUGGUAGCUAACGCGUUAAGUAUCCCGCCUGGGGAGUACGGUCGCAAGGCUGAAACUCAAAGGAAU